GCGCUAGUGGUUCAAUGGUAGAAUACUCGCCUGUUACGCGGGUGACCCGAAUUCGUAUCCCGGCCAAUGCA